rnacentral:rRNA from 1 species
AACGAACGCUGGCGGCAUGCCUAACACAUGCAAGUCGAACGAGACCUUCGGGUCUAGUGGCGCACGGGUGCGUAACGCGUGGGAACCUGCCCUUAGGUUCGGAAUAACUCCCCGAAAGGGGUGCUAAUACCGGAUAAUGUCUUCGGACCAAAGAUUUAUCGCCUUUGGAUGGGCCCGCGUUGGAUUAGCUAGUUGGUAGGGUAAAAGCCUACCAAGGCGACGAUCCAUAGCUGGUCUGAGAGGAUGAUCAGCCACACUGGGACUGAGACACGGCCCAGACUCCUACGGGAGGCAGCAGUGGGGAAUAUUGGACAAUGGGCGAAAGUCUGAUCCAGCAAUGCCGCGUGAGUAAUGAAGGCCUUAGGGUUGUAAAGCUCUUUUACCCGGGAUGAUAAUGACAGUACCGGGAGAAUAAGCUCCGGCUAACUCCGUG